rnacentral:rRNA from 1 species
CCCUUAGAUGUCCUGGGCUGCACGCGCGUUACACUGACGAACUCAACGAGCUUAUCACCUUGGCAGAGAUGUCUGGGUAAUCUUUUGAAAGUUCGUCGUGCUGGGGAUAGAUGAUUGUAAUUAUUCGUCUUGAACGAGGAAUUCCUAGUAAGUGUGAGUCAUCAGCUCGCGCUGAUUACGUCCCUGCCCUUUGUACACACCGCCCGUCGCUCCUACCGAUUGAAUGGUCCGGUGAGGUUCUCGGAUUUUUUCUGUUGUUUGGUUCGCUAAACGAUUGAAGAGAGAAGUUACCCAAACCUUACCAUUUAGAGGAAGGAGAGGUCGUAACA